rnacentral:lncRNA from 1 species
UUUUUGCUGCUAAAAAUUAAAGCGAAAAAAUUAAACAAACAAAAUUUUACAUAGACCUGGUGUGAAAGUGUACUUUUAUAUCAUUCAUCCUGUUGAUGUAUUUUUGGUGCUAUAUUUUAAUGUUUUUAUAGAUUGCUUUCACCAAUAUCAGAAUCUCAUUUUGCUAAAGAUAUCUGUAACAACUCUUGUUUCUUUUCAUGUUUACGGCACACUUGUAUCAAUUUGAAGAGUUUUUGCAUUUAUUUUUUUUUACAAUUUUGAAAAAUGGAAAAGAUUGAUUUCACCUCAAUUGUUGCCACUGAAGUUUCUACAGCUUAACUUAUAUGUUAGAUAGACCAUUAAAUCUUUCAAGGUAUUUAACUUCGUGAGUUUAGUCAAAAUAAAUGUUAGACAAUCAAAUCAUUGAACAGGUAAUAAUUAAAAAUGCUUUAACCCAUAUGUUUUAUGUGGCUUCAUCAAAAUUUUGUUCUUCAGCAAAAAACAAGAAAAACACACUCAUUUAAAUCACCUGUAAUAAUAUACAAGUUCUUAUUGCCAGAUUCUGUUUUUGAAGGUCAUAUGUGCUUGGUUAUUAAAUACUAAACGAAGUUAAUCAUUUAACAUCUUUGUUUAAAGGAUUUAUUUAAAUUUUUUCUUGCAGGCAUUUGUUCCACAAUUACACUUAUUUUGAUUGAGCAAAGAAAUUAAUUAGGUUUUUGAAAACAUUAAGUCGCAAAUGUCUUGACCAAGAGUAUGAAGAGGAGAUAAAAUCUAAUUGACUGGUCAAUUUAUUGUAUCCUGUGAAUUCUUAACAUCUGUUUUUGUGAAUACAAUUACAAUGUGACAUUUAUUGGGGGCCAAAUACACUUAUUAUACUUUCAAUUGAAAUCAUGUCUAAGAAAUUAAAAAUGUGAAAUUGAGAAUGGAAAUGGGGCAUGUGUCAAAGAGACAACAACCCGUCUAAAGAGUAAAAAACAAACAGCCAAAGGCUACCAAUGGUCGAAAAGUGUUUGCAACUUUUUUUUUAGAGUCAACAAUUGGUUAAGAUAUGCCUCUUUUUAAUUAAACAUUGUAUUCCAAUAACUAGCUGUAAAUUUCUUUGUACCAGAUGUUUUGUCUAUGUAUUUAUGUAAUUUGGAAAUAAUAUUAAUACUAUUUAAAAGACAAUUUUACCUACAUGACCUAUAUUUAUAGUUUUCAGCUGUUGUCAUAGAUGAUACAUAUUUAUUUGUUGAUAAUUUAAUCUUUAUGGAACAAAGGCAGCAUAAUUUUAUGGCUUGUGUAAUAACCACAUUAAUUUUCAUUGUCACUUAAUUAGUGGGUGAAGAUUGUAUUAGUUAUAUAGUUUAAUCAGUUACCUUCUUUUCUGCAUUCUGUCUAAACAGCAGCAUUUUUUAAAACUUUUUCAUUUUUUGCUUAUCCAAUUUAAUCUUGAUUAUUUCAUUUUCCGUAAGGGAGAAUUAAAAAAAAUAUAUAUUAUAAGUUUAUGCUUAACAAGUAUCUUGCUGCUAUAUAGUUAUAACUUAUAGGCAAACUGUUUUCAGGCAAUGCCAUUGUUUAGAGCUACAUGUAAAUAAGUGCUCAUCUGACUUUGAUAAGGGUUCUUUUCUAUAUACAUGUACUACAUUUUUUUACAGCCCAGUUCAAACUGUUUUCAACUUUCACACAAGGCGGUUAAGACAAUUCUCAGUGUUAACUUUAACCUCACAAUAUAAAUGAAACUUCAUGUGGUUAUUUAGAAGUCUAGAUUUCUCAAAAGGUGAAUUGUAGAUGAAAAUUACAUUGUUAAUGUAAUGUUCCCUCACCUUUUGAGCUAGACAGUUGAGAUGACAAGUGGUUUUCUAUUAAAUGUUGUUACAUGGUUGUACAUAAUAUAAUUAAGACAUGUAAUGUGCUUAAUGUUGGAACAUAAUUAUAACUAUUAUUUAACUCUAGUCUGUCUGACGUAAACAGAUUGUUUCUACUCUUUAAAAUGUGUUGGAAGUAUGACUUGUAAAUGUCGGAAUUCUUGAAGUGAGAGAUUGAGUGAGUCAGUUAAAAUUUCAUAAAAAUGGCAUUUAUUUUCGUAUCUAUACAUUGGCAAAUUAUUAAUUUACUUAUUAGGAUUUGUUAUGAAAUUAAAUUACAUUUUGUAAAUAUAUUUAUCAGUAUUAAAUUAUUCCAAUUCAGAAUUUUUUAGCUAUUCUUGUUUUAUGGUUAAACCACAGCUUUCUUCAUAAGAAUAAUUGCUUUGAAUAAUGGCAAUCGAGGUGCACAUUUUAAAGAGUAGCAUAAUUAUAUAAAAGAGCCGUUUUAUAUUUUUUUUAUUUAGAUUUAUUAGUGCAUUGUUUCGUUAUGUGAUAGAUUUUGUUUUUAUUUUGUUACUUUUGGUGUGAAUGUUAACAUUAUUAUCUGAAAUUUUAACAGUACUGAUUUACCUCAGAAAAGUAUAUAUAUAUUUGUUGUAGAAAGACCUCAGAACAGUCUAUAAUUGUUGUUUGAUGUAAUAUUUAGAAGUAAGAUAUGUUCUGUUUUGAAAGAAAAUCUUUAUGCUACAAAUUAUGAAUGAUCUAUUGAACGGUUAGAAUUAUAUCACAUGUUCUUCUGUACCCAUGGGAUAUAAAUAAGUUAUAGAAAACAGGAAGAAAUGAUUUUAGGACUGUCUCGUUGUGUACACCUUGUAUCAUGUCUACAUCCCCACAUCUUUUGCUUUACUUCAUGUCUAAAAAAAAUUAAUGCAGUUAUUUGCUUUGAAAUAAAUUCUAAUUCGUAAAAUAAAUAGCAUGAAUACAUUGUUUGUAAUAUUUAUACACACAAGCAAUCAAAUAUAGAUAUAAAAAAUAAGCUGAGAUGUUUGCAAAACCUUUUUCUCAGUAUAUCUUUCCUAUGAUAACCUAGUCUCAGUCUUUUACACACAACUUUCCAGUUUUUAACUCCGAUGCAGACUUGUCUUUUGAUUAAGUUUAACUCAAAUAAGUUACGCAAUAAUCUUGAAUGUUAUUUUCAGAAAAAAUAUUUAAAUCUGAUCAAACAAAAUACAAUAAUAUCAAUUUGUUGAAUUUUUGUUUAUCCUUUAUCAUGUUUAUCAAUUUAAUAUGAAAAAGUCUUCCUUAGCAAGCUUAUUAUUUCACUCUGAUAGGUAAAAAAUGAAGAUAAAAUAUAAGUGUAUUUUAAUGAUCUAUGUUUUUAUCUGUAAUUUUAGACUUCCAUACAUUUUGAACUACAUUUGAGACGAGUCCUGAUUUCAUUUCUUCUUCUCUAUUAAUUGCAUAUAUGAAAGCUAAUUUAUUGUAUUAGUAUGCUUUGGUACAUGUAUGUUGGUGGUUAUUUACAGUCAAAAUUUAAAAUUUUAUUCUCCCUAACAGAUGGACCAAGAAAAGAUUCACAGACUUUUCUAUGUCCAAACAAGGAAACAUUAAAACCACAUUCAUUAUUGGUUAAAAAAGAUAUGAAAGAUUUUUAACCUUGCCUUAAAAUACAAAAUAUAAGUAUUUUCUUGAAGUUUUCUAGUAAAAUAUACCAUACAGCUUUUACUGCAUGUAGAGUAUCAUUAACCAUUGAAGAUGUUGUUAAAAAAUGAAUCAUGUAUAAGUCAAAAUCAUUUACUGGUUAAUAAUCAAAACAAUGUUUAAUCAUGAAUAUAAAUACAUGUAUUAUGAUUGAUAAUAUAAACUCAUUAAAGCAUUACUAUAAAAUUCAAAAACAAUUGACAAUUUAAACAAAAUUGAAGAAAAAUACGGUUGAUAAAUUUUUUGUAUUUAUUUACAAUUUUUUAAAAACCUGUGUGCUUAUUUUUUCUUACUAAAAAUAGUUUUUUUUUGUUUAAUAAGAAAAAAAUGAGCACAGAAUAACUCUUUGAAGUAAACCUGGCAUUACUAGUACAAAUGAUAUUGUGAUGAAUGUUCUGUAAAAUUGGGAGUAUGUGCGAGAGUCGCUGAUCAGGUUAACAAAAGUAUGAAACAGAAACUUAAUUUCAAAUAACUGAUCUCAUUGACAUUGUUUUGCAUGUUUUGUAAAAUAAAUAUAUUUCAAUGACAUGAAUUCAUUAAUUAUUUGUCUAUC